AACGCUUACUAUAACGGAUGAGAAAGCGAAAGUAGACCGUGCGCGUAGUUAAAACCAACGGAAAUUAUUACAAUUCAAAGUGGGUAUUAAUGCAUUCACAAUAUCUAUUUGGAAUCGCACAGGAAAGUGUUCUGAAAUGUGUUACGCAACGAAAUGAAUGGAAGGUGCUUAAAUCCUAGUCUGUUUAUAACGCCUAUAUUUUGUAAAUCUCCUGCAUGAUGGCUUCAAUUAUAAUAUACCACUCAAACAGUUUAAGCACAUCAACAACGCCACCGAAAGCAACCCGAUAAUUGGGAGCCAUGCGCGUGAUCCGAUCACGACAGCAAUUACUUUGCAUUGUCAUAUAUUGAAUGCACUAUGAUUAGUGAAGAACGGGAUGCCACGUUAAGAGGAUAAACUAUCGUCCGUCUGUUGGCCGAUAUCUUUGAGUGCACUAACUACUGCCAUUGAACGGAAACAACGGAGGGACGGGGUGAGGUUGAUGAUGAUGGCAGUAAUACUUAUACUUACUCAUACAUGGAGCCGCCGCGCCAGAGCUAUACUGAAUGAUGGCAACCACUUUUAUCUAUCUUCGACCAUUAUUACAAAAAUCCCUUUUUCGUUCCGGCCAACAAUAGCGAUCAAACAACAAAAACAAUGCUAAUGAGGACAAGUAAUAAAGGAAGGAGUACAGAAAGAUACGUUAGGCAGACUCGCUACCAUCGGUAAAAGGCAAUCGAAGGCGAACAACAGUUAUACGGUUAUUAUUUGCGCAAGUAGACAAGGUGGGCAGCUGUCACAAUGAAGCAACACCAACAAAUCAAAUGAGUUUUCCAGCGCAAUUGUAUCGUAAUAAUUCGUAGAGCAUCAUGCCCCAGUCGUUUGCUUGACUGCCCUGUAGCAUUCGGCGAACACUAAGUUACACAAUUUUCUACUAAUAAAAUUUUAUUGCACAUUUUUCCAGAACGUAUGAAACAAGUAAACAUUUAUUAAAAGGAAGCCAGGCAAACGAAUGGCAACUAAAUGAGGCAAUUUCAUAGUUCUGGAAGUUCAUCAAUUUAACGAAAACGGUUUCCUUAACUUUAAGCUAUUUCGCCAUCUCAAUUUCUCAAUAUAGACGUAAUAUGUAAUAUUUGUAGUAUUUCCCUUGCAUCCCAAUUAUAUGUUGUGAAAAAUGUCAAAAUCUAUUCACAACCACGCCCAUUUCCCAUAUACGAGACCUUUGAACUAUGAGAGUCAAAUUGUGUGUUAUAUUAUAAUAAUAAAAUUAAAAAAAUACAUUGCGAGAGUAUAAAAUGUUCGAUGACACCUGAACUUAGCCCUUCAAUACUUAUUUUUAUAAACUACUAAACUCUGGAAAAGCUUAGCAAUUUUGAGAACUAAUAAUAUCCCGAAGAAAAAAUUAGGCCGAUGGUUCAUAUGAUAAUUCUUGCGUUGAGUAAUCAAUAGAUAUUUGUGAUUUCAUUUAAGUAUGUAAAUAGAUAUGUGUUGUAGACCGCAAAAGAGUACACAAGUAAUAUCAUUUACGUUGAUGUCUCUGUUAAUGCGAGAUACGGUAUUACUUAGACGCACUUGCAUCUGGUUUCCUGAACGCACUAAGCAACAAGCAAAUAUAUUAUGCAUGCUGUAAAUUUUUGGGUAACCUUCAGCAUCUAAAUCAACACCGUUUCACGGCCAAAGGCAAGGUUUUCUUUCAUCGCCAUUUAACACUUGGGCCAACGACCCACCAUACCCAACCAUAAGUGGAAAGAGUCAAAUUGUAUUUUACAAUACAGAAAUACGCCUUAACACACACAUUCAAUAAAUUAUUUUUGCUAUUUUCUAAUGUCACACUUCAUCAUUCAGAUAAAUGGUUUGGAAGUAAUUACAUUUACAUAUGCGUAUAAGUCAAUAUCCAUGCAAAAGGAUCUCGCUCUUCGUAUGUCACCUUUGAUCAAUUCAAUUGCGCUAGUAAAUAUGCUUAGCGCAUUCCACUUCACUGAUAACAUGUUUUCAUGGGGGUAUGUAUAUGCCGUUAACUUUUAAUAUAUCAUCAAUUUGUUAUCAGCAUU